GCCGGGGUGGCCGAGCGGUCCAAGGCGGUGGACACCCCAUCCACUACCCCAAAAGGGUGCCCGGGUUCAAAUCCCGGCCCCGGCGCCA
rnacentral:tRNA from 1 species